rnacentral:rRNA from 1 species
CCCUCAGAAGGUCUGGGCUGCAUGCGUGCUACAAUGGUGCAUUCAACGAGUUUUCCUGCCCUGAAAAGGUUGGGUAAUCUUCAAAGUGCAUCUUAGUUGGGAUAGAGGAUUGUAAUUAUUCCUCUUCAACAAGGAAUCUCUCGUAAACGCAAGUCAUCAGCUUGCGUUGAAUACGUCCCUGCUUUUUGUACACACCGCCCGUCGCUCCUACCGAUAGGAUAAUACGGUGAACUUGAUGGAUACUUCAUAUUCAAGUACAAGUCACGUAAAUCUUAUUAUUUAGAGGAAGGACAAGUCGUAACA